UAGAUGUUGUCAUCAACGGUGUCAUAGUUCCGUUUUUCUUGAUUGCUCAACACGGGUUUAAGCUUCUUUAAGAAGGAGACAACGGGCAAAACGGGUUUGUGAUGGCAGAGGCGAGAAGGGGGUGCGCCAUGUGUAAGGCAAAGGGGAGACGAGGCGCGAGGGGGUGGAUGGGACGGGUCGUCGCGGUCGCUGCCGUUUGGGUGGCUACCUGCGUUGGCUCGCGGCGGAGGCGCGGCAGAGGCGGGUGGAGGUCGGGGUUCGUUGGCGGCGGGCGGCGUGGAGGCUAUCGGAGCGGCGGUUAGGGUGGCGUCCCCUCAUGCGGGUGCACGAACCGAUGUCGCGACAGGAGGGGCUCUUCAACGUCUGACCUUUUACCUUGCACAUGGCUAGACGUGUAAGUGGAUAUUGAGACUAUCUAUCUAAAAGUCUGAUGGGUCUGUAACCCUGCAACGUGCUAUUGAAACACUUACGUCAACUCUGAAAGUCUCUGACAUCUAUGGAUCCAUGUUCCCAGGUACGUCUACCUUGUUAACCUCUGAUGUUUACCUACUGAAUACCUCUUCGACCGUGUUCGUCCUGACGUUAUCCAAGACCAGAAUAAACAGUACCUUAUGGAUUUCCGCGUGCACAACCAGACAUAAAAUAUUUGUCUGGACUCACCUGGUAUCAACUGUUACGAACAAGACGCAUAAGUAUACAAAGACACGGUGAUAUACUAUGAGAACCAGGUCUACGUCAAGUCAAGUAACACUUGGUACGUAGUCAUCUCCGAUAGAAGACACAAGGACUUUGUGAUUCGUGAAACAAUUCGAAAUAUUGAGUUUACGGAACACACGCGGAAUAGCACCAUCAACCACCUUAGCUCCUCUUAUACGGUAGAAGUGGACGUCGACGACCUUACCUUUAGUAUUGGAUGAGGUACGAUGUGUCUGUCCCUGUAUACUCAGGGGUUGGGAAAGCCGGAGGUUUUGGACUUCUACAACGGUGAUAGACGAUGUGAUCACCGUGAUGACCGUGUGGUUUCCCUCGACAAGAAAGAGUACGCUUAAAGUAACGUUUACAUCGUCCGGUCCUGAACCCGCAAUUCAAAAUGGGGAGCCUGCACAUGUAGAGUAUAGAUGGAAACCGUGUGUAGAUGCUCUCUUGAUUGGUUUAUACCGAGCAAGUAGCGCCACGACGGCAACCCAAGAUGGUUCCCCUAUUAAACUUCGACUACCUACUAGAAUUAUGAGACUUUGGUUGUCAUAAACGCUCACAAGGGGCCAAUAUAUUGUUUUAAAUACGACGUUAAUGUUUACGACACUUCCUCAGACCACCCAACUUUCUUGCUAAUAAAGUACGACGUAUACUACGAUUCUCCGUUCGAUAAUAGUUACCUGCCUUAGGUAGGGGUCACACCCUAUUCAACCAUAAAUUGUUUUAUUUUCGAUCCGACCCACCUGCUCAUUCCCAAUACAGAAGUCCACGAAGAGGUAACAGCGGUCUACAUUACCUUAAGGAGUCUUAUACGAAACCACCACUAUAAGAACUUCCGAUGCCUUACUGCCUUUGUAGAACACAGUAAUGAAAUUACCUACAACCACUAUAUAGUUAACCAGUACAACCUAGAGGGUUAGGACGAACACUCCAAUUUGAACACCUACAGGGACUCUACUUGAUGUGUAGACUCCUAGUUGGUAUGGGAGCACCUCUUUAUACACGGGCCCCUGGAUAUUAUAAGGUCCCAAUGAUAUUUCUACUUCAAGUUUGGUCUCUCCAGUAACUACUCCUACCAACCAACGUAUGACCCCUGUAUCCAAACACCGACGGACCUCCCGCGGAUUUCUAAUAUCUGUCCUUUUUCUUGUAAAAGUUCAAUCGAGUUCCUCUUAUGUAUCGAGGCCUCUUCUAGCUCUUACAAAUACGGUUCACGUUCAAGUAACGGGUCACGAAACAUAUACCGCUAUCGAAAUUAAGAACGGAUCAACGGCAGCAUCGUCAACUCGGUCUCCACAACUUCUCAACCCGACGUAAUCUUCCUUAGGUCAUACUCCUAAAUUCUGUCGAGACAAGACUAGGGUCUCGUUCUCGACGACACGACCGACUGUACCUAAGAUAACCCUUCCUUCGUGUCGAUUCUCCAAAACUCAAACAGUUUCGACAAUGAGAACAACGACUUGGUAAGUGUGAUCUUUUACCGGAGGAGUGGGGUUGUAAGUUCCAGUUUUCUGGCGUUCGUUUCCGCAUAAAACGUUUUCUUUAGUGUCUAUACAUACGUGUUAACGAACUACGUCUCAGUCGGUUCGGAUUCAACAUUAAUGUGUUCAUUACCAGUUUUAUUCGUCAGUUAGUUCCAUCCUCUAGUUCGAAAUGUUAACAAGUCAAGUAUCGUACUUUAUUCACCGACGGAACAUGACUGCGCCGUUCGUUACACUACCAUCAAGAACUUGGACAGGGAGGGUACACGUCCUUGGUUUUGAUUAGAAAGGUUAGUUGUUGUCGGACCCUGUCACGAAUCACGCCAAUUAAACUAAUGACACCAGUUCAUAUUGACUUACUCGGGUCGUAUACGUAAAAGAAUUGAAUAAGGGGGGGAAAAAAAUGUCAUGUGCGUACAUUGUAACAUUCCUAUGUAUCUUAUUGUAUAACCGCGGGAUUAGAACUAGACGACAUAGACGUUAUAUAAUGUUCCUUUCGGUUCACAUGCGUUUUAGUCCUUAAUUCGACGACACGCACCAUCAUAUACUAUUGGUGUGCAGUCAGAAUUAUAAAAAUCAAACUUAUUAGAUCUCGGUUUUGCUCUUUGAAAACAAUUUCGUAAUGAGAAUAUUUCUUACGACCUCCUGGGCGGAGUACUAUCGGAUGGCACACUCUCGGGAAGCGCAGCAGGCAACACGGACUCGGAGCGCCCGCCCGAGUGUAACCGAAGGGAUAGCGAAACGAAACGUCGAGGACGAAACCUCGUAACGGGUAGGACAGCCGCUGUUCGGCUGUUAGUUUGCACAGAAGUCGG
rnacentral:rRNA from 1 species